rnacentral:sRNA from 1 species
GAGGAACGUAAGCUUAAAGGCGCGACUUCCUGUCGCAACGCUUACAUGAUCCGCAUCCUGCGG